rnacentral:tRNA from 1 species
GCCUAGGUGGCUCAGUGGGUUAAGCGUCUGACUUCAGCUCAGUCAUGAUCUCACAGCUUCUGGGUUUGAGCCCCAGUCUCUGUG